UACGUAGGGUGCGAGCGUUGUCCGGAAUUACUGGGCGUAAAGAGCUCGUAGGUGGUUUGUCGCGUUGUUCGUGAAAACUCACAGCUCAACUGUGGGCGUGCGGGCGAUACGGGCAGACUGGAGUACUGCAGGGGAGACUGGAAUUCCUGGUGUAGCGGUGGAAUGCGCAGAUAUCAGGAGGAACACCGGUGGCGAAGGCGGGUCUCUGGGCAGUAACUGACGCUGGAGGAGCGAAAGCAUGGGGAGCGAACAGG
rnacentral:rRNA from 1 species